GAGGAUUUAGCUUAAUUAAAGUGUUUGAUUUGCGUUCAAUUGAUGUAGGGGUGGUCCUGCAAUCC
rnacentral:tRNA from 1 species